rnacentral:rRNA from 1 species
GUCUACGGCCAUGCCACCCUGAACAAGCCCGAUGUCUGAUCUCGGAAGCUAAGCAGGGUCGGGCCUGGUUAGUACUUGUAUGGGAGACCACCUAGGAAGACCAGGUGCUGUAGGCA